UUUUUUGGUUAUGAUUUAAAAUUGGACCUGCCCACUGAAUUUUAAAUGGCAGCGGUAUUUUGACCGUGCAAAGGUAGCAUAAUAAUUAGUUCUUUAAUUGGGAGCUGGAAUGAAUGGUUUGACAAGAAAAUAACUGUCUCUGUUAAAAUUUUAGAAUUUAAAUUUUAAGUAAAAAUGCUUAAAUAUUAUUAGAAGACGAGAAGACCCUAUAGAGUUUCAUUUAUUAUUAUAUUUAAUUAAAUUUAGUUAGGUUUAAUGUUUAAUGUUAAUAUUAAGUUUUAUUGGGGUGAUAAAAAAAUUUGUUUAACUUUUUAUUUUAAAUUUCAUUGAUUCAUGAUUAUUUGAUCCGUUUUUACGAUUAAAAGAUAAAAUUACCUUAGGGAUAACAGCGUUAUUAGGAUAGAGAGUUCUUAUUGAAAUCCUAGAUUGCGACCUCGAUGUUGGAUUAAAAUUUAUGUUAGGUGUAGGAGCUUAACUUUUAGGUCUGUUCGACCUUUAAAAUUUU
rnacentral:rRNA from 1 species